rnacentral:rRNA from 1 species
UGGGGAAUUUUGCACAAUGGGGGAAACCCUGAUGCAGCGACGCCGCGUGAUUUAGAAGGCCUUCGGGUUGUAAAAAUCUUUUCUAUGGGAAGAAAAUGACAGUACCAUAGCAAUAAGGACCGGCUAAUUACGUGCCAGCAGCCGCGGUAAUACGUAAGGUCCGAGCGUUGUCCGGAAUCAUUGGGCGUAAAGGGUACGUAGGCGGGUAAGCAAGUUAGAAGUGAAAUCCUAUAGCUCAACUAUAGUAAGCUUUUAAAACUGCUCAGCUUGAGGUAUGGAAGGGAAAGUGGAAUUCCUAGUGUAUCGGUGAAAUGCGCAGAUGUUAGGAGGAAUACCGGUGGCGAAGGCGACUUUCUGGCCAUAACCUGACGCUGAGGUACGAAAGCGUGGGUAGCAAACAGG